rnacentral:rRNA from 1 species
UGGGGAAUAUUGCACAAUGGGCGAAAGCCUGAUGCAGCGACGCCGCGUGAGGGAUGACGGCCUUCGGGUUGUAAACCUCUUUCAGCAGGGAAGAAGCGAAAGUGACGGUACCUGCAGAAGAAGCGCCGGCUAACUACGUGCCAGCAGCCGCGGUAAUACGUAGGGCGCAAGCGUUGUCCGGAAUUAUUGGGCGUAAGGAGCUCGUAGGCGGUUAGUCGCGUCUGCUGUGAAAACUCGAGGCUCAACCUCGGGCUUGCAGUGGGUACGGGCUGACUAGAGUGCGGUAGGGGUGACUGGAAUUCCUGGUGUAGCGGUGGAAUGCGCAGAUAUCAGGAGGAACACCGAUGGCGAAGGCAGGUCACUGGGCCGCAACUGACGCUGAGGAGCGAAAGCAUGGGGAGCGAACAGGAUUAGAUACCCCUGGUAGUCCAUGCCGUAAACGUUGGGCACUAGGUGUGGGGUCCAUUUCCACGGAUUCCGUGCCGCAGCAAACGCAUUAAGUGCCCCGCCUGGGGAGUACGGCCGCAAGGCUAAAACUU